UUCUGACUUUCUCUCUUUUCACGACCAAUAGAAAAUUCAAAAUGAUUUUCCAGCAACACACGGUGGCCGGAAAUCGCCCUAUGGCGGCGACUGCGACGGCCGGAGGUUAAAACCUCUGAUUGAAACCUCUUACCCAAUCGUUACGUUCCCCUGACUACGAAAAUCUCCUCAGUUUUCUUUGAUUCUCUCUCAUAUUCUUAUAAUCGGGCCAACAAGGAAACCCUAGAUCUAACCAAAAAUCCAAUUAAACACAGAUGGUGAUGACAUAGAGAACGAGGCCAUGGGGGAAGAAAAUAGGAGAUCUUGAUCUUCACGGUGGUAACACAAACACAUAGAAGAUGAAUAGUCAAAGAGUUCAAGGGUUUACCUGGAGCGACGCACGAGAUUGCAGAUUGAGAAGGCUAGAGAUGAGAUAUUUGUGGCUUCUAGAUUGAAUGUUCCAGGAGCAUGGCAAAUGCCUCAAGGUGGCAUUGAAGACGGUGAAGAACCGAAGUCUGCUGCGAUUAGAGAACUUCGAGAAGAAACUGGAAUAGUAUCUGUCGAGAUAAUCGCCGAGCUAACCCUUUUCUCAGGAUUUGUCAGCUAUCAGAUGGUUAGAGAUGCAUAUGAUGGGUUCGAAUGUAUUUCGGUUAACUGAUGCAGCAGGUACCUGAAUAUGUGAUGCUGAGUUGUGGUUUUGUUGGCAGGCUGAUUUGUGCAGGGCUCAUGGUUUAGCAUAGUGAGGUUGGAAUGUGCUGAGUGUCUUGGACUGAAUUUCUUGGAUCGUUUCGAUUUGGCAGGUUAUUACUCUGAAUUCAUUAAUGCAUAAUUCAAGUCUGUUUUGGAUUGAAUGAUAUUGAACGGGUUAUGAUGUGCAUAUGGAAAUGAAUGGUAUGGUUUGAUUUAGUGUAUGGUUUAAGAUUGUUAAUGUGUAUAUGGUGAAAAUGUUGCCUUGUGUGAUCCUGUUCUGACUUAUGAAUUGUGUUGAUGUUUAACUUGUGGUGCUACCUUUUGGUUAUGAAUAUAGGGUUUGAUGAGGCUGCAAUGUAUUUUCCACAAAUGAAUGUAUAUGACUGUGCCUUUGUUAUGUUUGGAUUGUAUAAGUAAUAUAUGCAGACUUGCUGCAGUAGUAAGUUUGAUCGUUAUGUCACCGUUGUUCUGGUGCGAGGUGGCUUUAUGUCUCCCACUUUUAUUGUGUUUGAAAACACUCUUCAUAAGUAACCUGUCAUUGUAAACAUCACCAAAUUGCUAAAUGAGCAUCUUAUAACUAGAAUUUGUUAGCCGUAAAAUUCCGUAUAAUUUGAAUUUUGUUCACUAUUUCUAUAUUUUAUACUCAAAACAUGUUUCUAUGUGUGUGUUGUAUGUAUAGUUGAAGUAGAAGAAAAGAAUACAAGUGAUUUUGGUCUUGUCAUCUAACUAAAACAUAGUAAGAUGUUUUCUAGGCGAUACAUGGAGGCUGCUGCAACUUUGAUUUUUAAGGUGGGGGUUUAUUUCCAUUGAAAUGUCUUACACAAUUUUCAGAACCUUUCAACUUCACCCGUUUCUACUCUAUCCGACCUCAAUACUUAAACAAAGUAAUGGAUUCUUUUAUUCCACAACAACCCUUAUGCAUACUGAAUAUGGAAACUUCUCUCAGGUGGUGUCCGUGUUUUUUUAUCCUUGGUUAUCAGUUAAAUUGUUUUAAUAGUUAUUUGUUGUUCUAUAAUUUAUAUGCACAUGCUCUGUUGCAGCUACCAUGAAUUGGAGCUUGCAGAGGUAAAUAGAAUUUUAGAAAAAGGUAGUCAUCAAGUAUAGACACUAUGAUGGAAAAUUGAUACUCUAGGCUACCGAUAAUCCACAGGUACUAACUCUAUUUCCUAAGUAAAUAUACAUUGCAAUUGAUGAACUAUACUUUAUUUCACCAUUGGAAUCUAGUGCACAUGGAUGGUAUAUGAGUGUUAUAAAUUCUAUAGUACUGAGUUCGAUUGGCCUCUUAUCAAGCUUUUCCAACCAACUGAUUAAGUUUUAAUUAGCUCUUGAUUUGUGCUAAUUAUUAACAGAAUUUGUGAUCACCUUGGUGUUGUGAACAUGAUGGUAGUUAAGUUAAGUAACUAACAUGUUGCAUCAAUUAGGACAUGACAACACACUCAGUUAGCCCCCUUGAGUUUUAGUUAUUUAUUUGGUUAGCAAACUUGUCAUUUGAGACUGUUGGGAAAGCAAUGGAAACAGAACAGUUCCUGUUCUUCGAUGCGGUUAAUUUUAUUUUAUCUCUGCAGGUAUAUGUUUGGACUUGAAUGGAGUAAUUGAAAAAAGAAAAUUGCCACCAACAAUUGCUACAGUGAGUUCUUUGUUGAGGUUUUCUUUUAUUUUAUCUUUGGCACAAAAUCAGUGAGUCAAAAUUUGUUUUCCAGUUUUUGUGUUCAAUCAAUGUUGCAUGCUUAUUUUCAAUACGUUUGGGUUGAAUUUAUAGGGCUAACUAGAAAUUGUGUUAUUAUUACAGACACAUUGAGUAUUGCAUGCAUAGAGUGAGUUUGUUGCGCCAUUAUGGUGUUAAGCCAUUCUUGUACUUGUUGCCACUAUAGGUACAGGUGUCACGAUACUGAUCGCGGUCGUCGCAGUGUGAAUUAAGACCAAUUUGUUCUUUAUUAUCUAGUUUUUUAAACCAUAUGAUCUCAUAAUCCAGGUUGUUGUUGCGCUUUUGCUUAUGAAACCAGUUUUUUUUAUGCAAUAAGUGCAGGGCUAGAAAGGAUACUUUUGAACGUGCAGUUGAACAUGAUUCAAAUGGGAAUUCUACAGCUGCCUAUGAGUACUGCCAGAAAGCUGUUGAUAUCACGCAUGUGAUUGCAGUUUAUCAGAGCUAGUCUGGAUGUUGUGAAGGAGAUAGUAAGACUGUUAUUUACAAAGUAACGCUCACAUGUAUUUGUGUUUCAUUUGGAUAUAUUAAACAAAUGUAAUUACAUUUUCUCCUAAAUGUUGAAACCUUGUUUUUUUAUAUAUAAGACUAAGAAAAUGAAAUACAUGGACGUACCUACUAAAUUA